GAAAGACGGUCUUGCUGUCACUUAUAGAUGGAUCCGCGCUGCAUUAGCUAGUUGGUAAGGUAACGGCUUACCAAGGCAACGAUGCAUAGCCGACCUGAGAGGGUGAUCGGCCACACUGGAACUGAGACACGGUCCAGACUCCUACGGGAGGCAGCAGUAGGGAAUCUUCCGCAAUGGGCGAAAGCCUGACGGAGCAACGCCGCGUGAGUGAUGAAGGUCUUCGGAUCGUAAAACUCUGUUAUUAGGGAAGAACAUAUGUGUAAGUAACUGUGCACAUCUUGACGGUACCUAAUCAGAAAGCCACGGCUAACUACGUGCCAGCAGCCGCGGUAAUACGUAGGUGGCAAGCGUUAUCCGGAAUUAUUGGGCGUAAAGCGCGCGUAGGCGGUUUUUUAAGUCUGAUGUGAAAGCCCACGGCUCAACCGUGGAGGGUCAUUGGAAACUGGAAAACUUGAGUGCAGAAGAGGAAAGUGGAAUUCCAUGUGUAGCGGUGAAAUGCGCAGAGAUAUGGAGGAACACCAGUGGCGAAGGCGA
rnacentral:rRNA from 1 species